GUGAGUAGUUCAGAGUUUGAUCCUGGCUCAGGAUGAACGCUGGCGGCGUGCCUAACACAUGCAAGUCGAACGAAGCACUCCGAUUUCUUCGGAAUGAAGGGUGACUGAGUGGCGGACGGGUGAGUAACGCGUGGGUAACCUGCCUCACACAGGGGGAUAACAGUUGGAAACGACUGCUAAUACCGCAUAAGCGCACAGUACCGCAUGGUACAGUGUGAAAAGUUUUUUCGGUGUGAGAUGGACCCGCGUCUGAUUAGCUAGUUGGCGGGGUAACGGCCCACCAAGGCGACGAUCAGUAGCCGGCCUGAGAGGGUGGACGGCCACAUUGGGACUGAGACACGGCCCAA
rnacentral:rRNA from 1 species